GCUUAAAACAAACAAAACACUUGAGGACCUGGUUAGUACUCCAAUGGGAGACUACCUGGGAAUACCAGGUGUUGUAAGCA
rnacentral:rRNA from 1 species